AGCUGCAGUAUAUAGUAUGUUGAUCUUAGAAUGUUAUGGUUUAGAUUGUUUUAUUGCAUUGAUUGGACUCAAUAUUGAGUAUUGAAAAGUUAAAUAGUUAAUAGCCAUUUAUCAAAAUAGAGAAAUAGCCAAUGUCUGUGUAAUUUUGUCAUGCUGUAGUAUUUAAAUACUUUUCAGUACACUUUAGCAUGUUCCUGUUAAUAAUUAAAACCAUCUUGUAACGGAUUAAAGGUGACCAGUUCCAAGAAGAAGAAACAUGGAGAGAUGCAUUGUAAGAAAUGAGUUAAUAACAAGAAAAUGUGGGAAAUCAUUUUUGAAAAAUCUGAAUCUCAACUUGUGCUUUAUAAAUCACGACCCAGAAGUAACUGGGGAUUCAGCCAGAUCUCAUUAAUUGCAGAGGAAGAGAAACUAUAAAGACUGAAAUUUAUGUAAAAUCAGUUCACUGGUCUAUUCUUUUAUGGGAACCACUUGGAACCAAUCUGUAUCUGCAACUCUUCUCUGGGAAAUGAGUCGAAGAGCUACAGCAGGUGCUUUAAAGUAAUAAGGGGUUUCCUGUGAAACCCAGUGGAGGGAUGACUCACCGCUUUAAUUAUGGCUUUCUUCUGUUGUAAAAGCAGGACUAUCAUUUGUAAAAGGCUCUUGUUGAGUAAAUGAGUUCCAACAGAAAAUCUUUGAUAGGGAAAAGAAGAUACCCAUAUUUUAUUUUAAAGGGUAUAAGAUUUAUAGGGAACAUCUUCAGACUACUACAAUGAUUAGUGUUGUCUGGGUAUCCCCAGAGUAACUGAAUGGAGCAGCAGUAACUCUUUUUGUGCUGUCUGGCAUUGCUUUAUUUUGAAUUUCUGACUUAUCUUUCAGUUCAGCUGUUUGAUUUAUUUCUAAAUGAUAUCUAUCCCAGACAGAUAUCACCAUAGUUCAUGCUGCUUCAGGAUGCUUGGAGUGGGUUUGGUCUGGUUUGGUUUUUACUUUAAAAAGACAUAGCUAAAAUUACAGUUACUAUUUCUUAAUUUCACAAUACCAUUCCUUUUUAGCAGGUUGCAUGUCCCUGGGAAAUAGGGCAGUCUUUACAAAUGGUGAACCACUUCCUGGGAAUUUUACUUUUUUCUUGGAAAACCACCAUUUUUCACCCCAUAAAAUGGGAGAUAAGGUCUUACAUAUCCAUUGUGUCUGGGCUGUAAGAAAAGACCCCUCGGAACUGAUACAACAUUCCACCCUGACAUGUGAUGAAAAUCCAGGGGACCAUGAUAGCUGAAUCAGAAACACCCUUUACAAUAUUUAUUGCAAAGUAGCAGUUUCUGGUGAAAAUUCCGCUGAUGAAAAGGAGGGAGGUUCUGGUAUUUGGGGUAUGUAGACAAAAAUAAUUAGGCAAAAUGGUUCUCUUCGAGGACAGAUGGGUCAUAUAACCCAGCUCUCAGUUCAUUUUCUAGGUUGGUUGGUUUUUUUCAUCUGACUUCUCUGCUCAGAAAUUAUGAACCUGAUUUUGCCCGUGUCUGUCACCAUCUGGCACAAUGCAUCUUCUUGCUAAGGUGAAGAAUUUCUGUGCUUGACAUAAACAUUUCUGGGGAAGUGUGCUCUUGUAUGAAGAAUGGCCCUAAAUGUGUCUCAGGAUGAGGUUUGCUUGCACCAAAGCUGUACAAGCCAAGGUCAGAGAAACUGAGGGAGGCUGAAGCUGCAUUAACACACAGG